GUCUAUGGCCAUGCUACCCUGAAGAAGCCUGAUCCCAUUUGAUCUCAGAAGCUAAGUAGGAUCGGGCAUGGUUAGAACUUGGAUGAGAGACCACCUAAGAAGACCAGAUGCUGUAGGCA
ensembl:rRNA 5S_rRNA 5S ribosomal RNA